GCGCACCACCGAACCGGCUCAACACGAAAUUUCUUUGGUAUCCCACCUUGAUGUAAUUUCUUGCAUUUCUUACGACAUCCCUCUCCCAAUUUACAGUCGUGGGGUUACCAGCUAGCCCACCACCGUCUAACGUGCGCCUGGCGGUUUUAGGAAUCUCAGGUUCUGGGCGAUUGCGGCGAGCGGCUGCACCUAGGGUCGCGGCGGCCGGAGCGAAAGCUCCAUCUCCAGGUCUCCGUCGACCACCUCAGGUUCCGUCGUGAGCGCCGCCGCCCCGACCUUGCUCGCCGGCUGCAGCCAAGAUCCUAGAUCUCCAUCUGCUGCUGUAAUCAACCCCCAGCUUUGUUACCUGAGCGCCACCAAUCGCCCCAACCUCCAGAUCCCAUCCAGGCCCCACAACCUUCAGAUGACUCCCAAGAGCCGCCGCCCUCAUGAUCCAACACCCAGCAGCGGAGAACUUCCUAGACCGGCCCCAACCACGUUAAUCGACGAGAGGCAGUGCGGCCCUGCUAGAUUUAUUCCAUUCUGCUUGGUAUUCUUCAUGUAUUUGUUCGGAGGGCAAAUCAACUCUGCGUCCUUGCUUCCUUGGUGAUUUCGGUGGUAUGCAACCUGUGAUUGGCGCUGCCUACUUCUUUAUAGUACCCCGGUACUCUUCAGUACCGCCCUUUUCUACCAUUUGAUGAGAAAGGGCUGGUCUUUUCUUUCCGAUUAGUGAUGAGGGUUACAGGCAAGACCCCUAUGGUGGCCGGAGAGCGGCUGAAGCUGGUGGUUACGGCGGUGGCGAGUAGUAUCUGGGGAUCAUGGCGGCACGAGCAGCUACAACUGUGGAUCUAGGCGGUUUGAGGCGUGGUGAGCGACUGGCGGCCUCGGUGCCUAAGCAAGCGGCGGGUUGCCUCAGCGGCGCUGUCAUAGACUCCGCGGCUUUGAUGACCUCGUGUGCCAUCCCUGUCGGGCAACAUGGCUUCUUGUUGCUGCGGGUGGCAUCGUGGUGAGAGGGGGCAACCUCAGCACUGCCGCAGGCGUAGCACGCAGGUAGGCUUCGACCUCUAGGUACGGUAUGGCGUUGAUCCUUUCUGUUUUCUCUGUGUUGCCUAUUUGUUGGAUUUUAGUUAGAUUUUGUCCCCGAUUACAGAGGCGGAUCCACCGAGCACCUCUGGACUCCACAUAACCUUUUGGACCUGGCUCCUACAACGAUCGAGGAAGGGUGGCAUUAUAAUAUUCUUAGAUAUACUGCAGGAAAUUACCUUGGGUUGCUUUUUUCUAAUUCAUUCGGAGCGCAAAUAUUCUUAGAUGUUCGAUUUGAGCUGGUGUUGCUUUAACUAUCAAAGUAUCAAUGCAAAUUAGGGGCUGUUUCAAUCAGCUUUUCUUCGUUUUCCUUUGCAAUAGAAGUUUCAUCUUUCUAUUGUCCUGCUAGCUAGAUGGUGGCCUUUUAUUUGGCAAUUUCUUCAUAUGUUGCCAUACAUGGAUCUGUUAGUUUGUUCCUUAAUUUCCUAAUUGUGUCAUGUUGAAGUACGAGAUUUGUCGCAGCACACAACCACUGCCUAUGGUUCAGGAGUAGUCAUGUGUCUGUGUAUUUACAUAUUUUUAUUGAUUAACUACCUGAAGAGGUUUACGUCAGUGUCUUAAGCUUAUUUCUCUGUAUGCUUAUCACCGAGGUCCUUCGUGAGAUCACUUCAAUAGUCACGGUAAGCUGGGGGCAGUGGCAGCUGUGGUUGGUACCAAUUGGUCAUGGUCUUUCUAUGUAAAAUUAUCCUCUGUUAAUAAAAUACAACUGCUCUUUCUAUGAUUAUAAGAUGUGACUUUAUAUGUAAUAAAGAAAAUAAAUUUUCACACAACAAUUUUUUGUUACAGUUUCAAAUUUUAAGAUACACUAGAUACCUGAUGUGUUAUUUUUUCCUUGUGCAGCGCUGUUGGGAAUGUAUAUAUCUGGUCCGAAUCGUUCCUUGUCGGAUAUCUUGUUGCCUUAUUGGCAUGGAAGAAAUAGGGAUAUAUUUACCAUUGUAUUUGACACACUGCCUGCUGCAAGUCUUCUCCUCCGCUGAGCAUCAAAUGAACCUGAUAUAAAGUCGGCACCGAUGAUAUUGUGUAGUUUUUUUAGUCAUCCUUUUAUGCGUAAUGCAUGAACUAUAAUUAUCUCUGAUUUGAAUUGUGUAUACACUAGGCUUCACGUGUAAUUAUUUUGUAUACACAAAUAUUAUGUGUAUUCCUUCUUACUGAAUCUCUCAUAAUUUGGAAGUUGCUAGGUUUUAAAUGCACAACAAGUUCCAUUUUUU